rnacentral:rRNA from 1 species
CCUACGGGAGGCAGCAGUGGGGAAUAUUGCGCAAUGGGCGAAAGCCUGACGCAGCGACGCCGCGUGAGGGAUGAAGGUUUUCGGAUCGUAAAACUCUGUUGGUAGAGAAGAACGUUGGUGAGAGUGGAAAGCUCAUCAAGUGACGGUAACUACCCAGAAAGGGACGGCUAACUACGUGCCAGCAGCCGCGGUAAUACGUAGGUCCCGAGCGUUGUCCGGAUUUAUUGGGCGUAAAGCGAGCGCAGGUGGGUUAUUAAGUCUGGUGUAAAAGGCAGUGGCUCAACCAUUGUAUGCAUUGGAAACUGGUAGACUGGAGUGCAGGAGAGGAGAGUGGAAUGCCAUGUGUAGCGGUGAAAUGCGUAGAUAUAUGGAGGAACACCGGUGGCGAAAGCGGCUCUCUGGCCUGUAACUGACACUGAGGCUCGAAAGCGGGGGGAGCAAACAGGAUUAGAUACCCCAGUAGUC